rnacentral:rRNA from 1 species
UGCCAGCCGCCGCGGUAAUACGGAGGGGGUUAGCGUUGUUCGGAAUCACUGGGCGUAAAGCGCACGUAGGCGGACUGAUCAGUUGGGGGUGAAAGCCCGGGGCUUAACCUCGGAACUGCCUUCAAUACUGUCAGUCUUGAGUUCGGGAGAGGUGAGUGGAAUUCCUAGUGUAGAGGUGAAAUUCGUAGAUAUUGGGAAGAACACCAGUGGCGAAGGCGGCUAACUGGCUCGGUACUGACGCUGAGAUGCGAAAGCGUGGGGAGCAAACAGGAUUAGAUA